AACAAACGCUGGCGGCGUGCCUAAUACAUGCAAGUCGAGCGAAGCCUUCGGGCUUAGCGGCGGACGGGUGAGUAACGCGUGGGAACGUGCCCUUUGGUACGGAAUAGCCCCGGGAAACUGGGAGUAAUACCGUAUGUGGUCGAGAGACGAAAGAUUUAUCGCCAAAGGAUCGGCCCGCGUUGGAUUAGGUAGUUGGUGGGGUAAUGGACUACCAAGCCGCCGAUCCAUAGCUGGUUUGAGAGGAUGAUCAGCCACACUGGGACUGAGACACGGCCCAGACUCCUCCGGGAGGCAGCAGUGGGGAAUCUUAGACAAUGGGGGAAACCCUGAUCUAGCCAUGCCGCGUGAUCGAUGAAGGCCUUAGGGUUGUAAAGAUUUGUCAGUGGGGAAGAUAAUGACUGUACCCACAGAAGAAGCCCCGGCUAACUCCGUGCCAGCCGCCGCCGUAACAC
rnacentral:rRNA from 1 species